rnacentral:tRNA from 2 species
GGAUCCUGGCGACGGCCCUGCGCCCGUCGCGUUCUCAUCGCGACAAACUGAUCGGCUGGGGGAUCGUCGCCCCCUACGAUGCCC